CCGGGUUUUACUCACACUUUACUCCAGGUUUACUCAACCUUCACUCAGCUUUUACACGCACUUUAUUCCAGGUUUACACGCACUUUACUCUGGGUUUACUCACACCUUACUCCGGAUUUCACUCACCCUUUACUCCGGGUUUACUCAAUCUCUACUCCGGGUUUUACUCCCCCUUUACUCCAGGUUUACUCACCCUUUACUCCGGUUUUACACACCCUUUAUUCCACCUUUACACACACUGUACACUGGGUUUACUCACAUCUCACUCCGGAUUUUACUCACCCUUUACUCCGGGUUUUACUCAGCCUUUACUCCAGGUUUACUCAGCCUUUACUCUGGGUUUAGGCACACUUUACUCUGGGUUUUACUCAGCCUUUACUCCAGGUUUACUCCACCUUCACUCAGGUUUUAACACACUUUAUUCCAGGUUUACACACCCUUUACUCCGGGUUUUACUCACCCUAUACUCCAGGCUUACUCAACCUUUACUCUGGGUUUAAUCGCACCUCACUCUGGAUUUUACUCACCCUUUACUCCGG
ensembl:lncRNA